UUUGAUCCUGGCUCAGAUUGAACGCUGGCGGCAGGCUUAACACAUGCAAGUCGAGCGGGGAAGGUUGCUUCGGUAACUGACCUAGCGGCGGACGGGUGAGUAAUGCUUAGGAAUCUGCCAUUUAUGGGGGACAACAUUCCGAAAGGAAUGCUAAUACCGCAUACGUCCUACGGGAGAAAGCAGGGGAUCUUCGGACCUUGCGCUAAAUGAUGAGCCUAAGUCGGAUUAGCUAGUUGGUGGGGUAAAGGCCUACCAAGGCGACGAUCUGUAGCGGGGUCUGAGAGGAUGAUCCGCCACACCGGGACUGAGACACGGCCCAGACUCCUACGGGAGGCAGCAGUGGGGAAUAUUGGACAAUGGGCGCAAGCCUGAUCCAGCCAUGCCGCGUGUGUGAAGAAGGCCUUUUGGUUGUAAAGCACUUUAAGCGAGGAGGAGGCUCUCUUAGUUAAUACCUAAGAUGAGUGGACGUUACUCGCAGAAUAAGCACCGGCUAACUCUGUG
rnacentral:rRNA from 1 species